rnacentral:misc_RNA from 1 species
UUUCCGUAGGUGAACCUGCGGAAGGAUCAUUAAUGAGUUGUCAUGGGGUUCGAUGCUGGCAGCCAGUUUUUGGAUGCAUGUGCUGCCCUAACAAUCAUCUUCUUCCAAACACCUGUGCACAUUUUUGAGGGAGUCUUGAGUUGGUUGCCGCUCUUGGGUGAUUUUCUCACAUUCCCUUAAAUCAUUAUACGCUAUUAACAAUGUUGAACGUGCUCUGUGCCGCAAGGCCAUUAAUAUAAUACAACUUUUAACAACGGAUCUCUUGGCUCUC